UACAGAGGGGGCAAGCGUUAUUCGGAAUUAUUGGGCGUAAAGGGCGCGUAGGCGGCUUGGCAAGUGGAUGGUGAAAUCCCUCGGCUUAACCGAGGAACUGCCGUCCAAACUGCUUCGCUUGAGACCGGGAGAGGUGAGUGGAAUUCCCAGUGUAGCGGUGAAAUGCGUAGAUAUUGGGAAGAACACCAGUGGCGAAGGCGGCUCACUGGCCCGCAACUGACGCUGAGGCGCGAAAGCGUGGGGAGCAAACAGG
rnacentral:rRNA from 1 species